UACGAAGGGUGCAAGCGUUACUCGGAAUUACUGGGCGUAAAGCGUGCGUAGGUGGUCCGUUAAGUCUGAUGUGAAAGCCCUGGGCUCAACCUGGGAACGGCAUUGGAUACUGGCGGACUGGAGUGCGGUAGAGGAUAGCGGAAUUCCCGGUGUAGCAGUGAAAUGCGUAGAUAUCGGGAGGAACAUCUGUGGCGAAGGCGGCUAUCUGGACCAGCACUGACACUGAGGCACGAAAGCGUGGGGAGCAAACAGG
rnacentral:rRNA from 2 species